GAACGCUGCGGCAUGCCUUACACAUGCAAGUCGAACGGCAGCAUGAUCUAGCUUGCUAGAUUGAUGGCGAGUGGCGAACGGGUGAGUAAUACAUCGGAACGUGCCCUGUAGUGGGGGAUAACUAGUCGAAAGAUUAGCUAAUACCGCAUACGACCUGAGGGUGAAAGUGGGGGACCGCAAGGCCUCAUGCUAUAGGAGCGGCCGAUGUCUGAUUAGCUAGUUGGUGAGGUAAAGGCUCACCAAGGCGACGAUCAGUAGCUGGUCUGAGAGGACGAUCAGCCACACUGGGACUGAGACACGGCCCAGACUCCUACGGGAGGCAGCAGUGGGGAAUUUUGGACAAUGGGCGAAAGCCUGAUCCAGCAAUGCCGCGUGUGUGAAGAAGGCCUUCGGGUUGUAAAGCACUUUUGUCCGGAAAGAAAUGGCUCUGGUUAAUACCUGGGGUCGAUGACGGUACCGGAAGAAUAAGGACCGGCUAACUACGUG
rnacentral:rRNA from 1 species